GACAGAGGGUGCAAGCGUUGUCCGGAAUUAUUGGGCGUAAAGGGCUCGUAGGCGGUUUGUCGCGUCGGGAGUGAAAACCAGGUGCUUAACACCUGGCUUGCUUUCGAUACGGGCAGACUAGAGGUAUUCAGGGGAGAACGGAAUUCCUGGUGUAGCGGUGAAAUGCGCAGAUAUCAGGAGGAACACCGGUGGCGAAGGCGGUUCUCUGGGAAUGACCUGACGCUGAGGAGCGAAAGUGUGGGGAGCGAACAGG
rnacentral:rRNA from 1 species